AAUUACCAUGUGAUUCUCUCUCUGUGGCACUGAAACUCUCAGAAGAAUGGAAGUCAUUCUUCACAACAGGCGCAUCCACAGUAUCCCCACUUCUUCUAUCCCUUUCCCAUUCUCUCCCUCUCUGCCCCUUCCUCUUCAACCCUAACCCUAACUCUAAUUCCCUCUUCGUCCUCUUGUCUUCCCCCUCUCUCGUACCCUGUCUCCAUCUCCCUCCGCCUUCAUGACCUCGAGGGAGAAGUUGGACGUGGCGCGGCAGCUCGCCAAGCUGGGCGUUGACAUCAUCGAGGCCGGCUUCCCCGCCGCCUCCAUGGACGACUGUAAGGUCGUGAAAAUGAUCGCCCAAGGGUCGGCAAUGCCGUUGACGACGGCUACGUCCCCGCCAUCUGCGGCCUCUCCCGCUGCAACGAGAAGGACAUUUGAACUGCCUGGGAGGCCGUUAAGUACGCCAAGAGGCCCAGGAUUCACACCUUCAUCGCCACCAGCGCCCUUCACAUGGAGUACAAGUUGAGAAUGUCCAAAGACAAGGUCGUCGACAUUGCCCGCAAUAUGGUCAAGUUCGCUCGCAGUUUGGGUUGCGAUGACGUCGAGUUCAGUCCUGAAGAUGCUAGAAGGUCAGAUAGGGAGUUUUUUUAUGAAAUUCUCGGAGAAGUUAUUAAGGUCGAGGCCACCACGCUCAACAUACCUGACACUGUUGGUAUAACCAAGUCCAGUGAAUUUGGAAAGUUGAUUGCUGAUAUUCAAGCUAAUAACCCCGGAAUUGAAAAUGUUAUUAUUUCCAUCCACUGCCAGAAUGAUCUUGGACUUUCUACUGCAAACACUAUAGAGGGUGCGCGUGCUGGUGCAAGGCAACUGGAGGUGACGGAUUAAUGGGAUUGGUGAAAGGGCUAGAAAUGCCUCCCUAGAAGAGGUUGUGAUGGCCUUGAGAUGCGAAGCACAUGUCAAUGGCAAUCUCUACACUGGAAUUAAUGCAAAGCACAUCUUUCUGACAAGCAGGAUGGUCGAAGAGUACACUGGUUUGCGGGUACAGCCACACAAGGCUCUUGUGGGAGCUAAUGCCUUCGCCCAUGAAAGUGGCAUACAUUGGUUAUGUCAAAAUACAUAUAUCCUUGUAUAUCUAUGUAAUAGGACUUAGACCUUGGUACUUAACAUUGUAUAAUGUUCAAGUUUAUAAUUUGCGUGCAUAUGCCUGAAAUGAGUUUUCAAUAAGCAACAGCUGCACCUUUGCCUCCAACAUGUAUGCCCAAAUUACUGAUAAGAUGACAUGUCUUAGCAGAAGCUACUUAGAAUAUUGGCCAAAAAUCAAAGUUAGUUGCAUCAUGGGAUAAAAAGUGAGCCUUAGCACUAGGUUGCAGCCUUUUGACUUCAUGAUGAUGUUUUCUACUUGUGAAAACACUAUCUAUGCUCAUCUGUGUAAUGUUGGGUACAUCUAAUCCUCUCCAAAUCCUACAGUGAUGGGAGCCUCAUGCACUGGGCUUCACCACCCCUCCCCUCCUCCUCUUUUGUUUGUGCCUUGCAUUUGAAUCUUAUACAUAUUGCUAAAUUACUUUGAAUGUUUUGGUUUCCUAAAUUAAGAUAAAAAUGAUUUCUUCUUUGUGUGUGAUUAUACCAUCCUGAUCUAAAUUAGAUCAUUCCAUGAAUCCUUAUCCCAUAGGAGUAGCUUGAACAUGAUUUCUGUGUUUGAUUUUGAUUUUGCAACACAGAAAGAUAUGCUUGAUAAAUGUUAAGCAAUCUUUUUAAGCUUCAAUCAAACUGCCAUUUUAAGCUUUAAUCUUUUACAUAUAAAAAUUUAAUUUGUUCAUUUCCUUCACAUAAGAUACAGCCAAGCUUCAUUCUAUUUGUUUUUGUCCCUGGACGCAGCACCUUUCUUUUGUUCUGUUUUAGGUCCUUGUGCAUUUUACUUUUGGGAGAAUUCCAAAAAAGUUACUAUUCAUACAUAACAUGAAGGAAGAAUGAUUACUUGGUGUGGUUAUUCCAACCAAAAUUAACCAAAAUAAUAUGAUGACUAAAACCACUUUGGUGUUUUCUCUCCCUCUUCGUAUUAAAUAUUUUUAACACUAGUUCCUUACUUGAAAUCAUACCUUUUAUUUUUUUGGUGACUUAGCCUUAAGCCCUCAUAAAAACUGUCCUUUGAUUUCAGCCUUUUUUCUUCUUCAAAAACUGUUGUAGGAUGGAAUGCUAAAACACAAAGGUACAUAUGAAAUAAUAUCACCUGAGGACAUUGGACUUGAAAGAACCAAUGAAGUAGGUAUUGUACUGGGAAAGCUUAGCUUUCUGGACUUAUGUAAGUCCUCAUGGUACAAGCAUACCGGUUAUAUUUGAGUGAGUGCACAAGAAGUUGUCUGACUAUGGCAGGAUGAAACUCUGCGGAUAAUGAUGAUUCUUGGCCUGCUUUAUUUUGAUGCUCAGAAGCAUUCUACUUGUUCAUCCAUGCCUGGUGGUUGAUAUCAGUGGUUGCCAUGCUUUGAGAAAGCGACUUGAAGUUACUAUCACAGUACUUUUUGAGGAAGAUGGUUAUGUCUUGCAUGAGUGGCCCUGUAUAGGGGAAAAUCCCACUUGAAUUACGGACUUGAUCUGAGAAGAAUGUUUGAGGAUUAUUACUCUUCUCAUUCUUCUAGACUUCUAGUUAUUUUUCUUAUUUGUAUUUUAUUACUAUUUCAGUACGUUAUAUUUAAAUCCAUUCCCAUCUGAUUGGAUGAUCAUGAAUUACCUUCCUGCUUGUAUGGAUUAUACAUUAUUAUAGAUAUAUACUAGCUCUUACUUUCUUUGUGUUCUUCA